rnacentral:rRNA from 1 species
UGAGGAAUAUUGGUCAAUGGACGAGAGUCUGAACCAGCCAAGUAGCGUGAAGGAUGACUGCCCUAUGGGUUGUAAACUUCUUUUAUAUGGGAAUAAAAUGUUCCACGUGUGGGAUUUUGUAUGUACCAUAUGAUAAGGAUCGGCUAACUCCGUGCC